CUCCGCUACAGCGUCGCGUGCGAAUGACGUCAUCAACCGCGCUGGGCCGCUUGUGGAUGACGUCAUUCACAUGCAGCUGCGAUCGUAUCUUUCGCGCCAAAAGAUAACGGCUGGGACUAAGUAAAAAGUAGUAAAAAUGGAGACAUAGCGAAACGCUGAUGUCUCCAUUUUUACUGCUUUUUACUACUUGAAUGGACUGAGGGUGAUGAUAGUGGGGCGCAUAGUAUUUUGGCGAUUGACUGUGUCCGGAACUUUUCAGUUCAAGAUUUUUUUGCCUCGACUGAACAAAACGAGAAGCUGGUGGAAUGGCGAAACGGCCGCCAACCCUGGCCGGUUCACCCAGCCAAAAUUAUUGACGUGGCAAGGGAAGACUGAGAAGGCUUAAAAAAAGUAAAAAGGGAGGGUCUUCCAAAAACAAGCACCAAGAGGGUGAGAAGCAGGAGGAGGGUCAUGACAGACUUUGAAAGAACAAGGUACACUACCAGUCUGCAUCCUGUGUGUGUGCUGUUACAUUACAUUACAAUACAUUCAUGGUUCCUCUGUUUCUCCCUCUCCCUCCAAAGGUUGUCGUGAAAAAGAAAAAUGUUUCUAAAUACGAGACAGGAGGAGGAGGAGAAAGUGGAUGAUGAGGCGCGUCAUGACACAAAGAACAAGGUGGGAAGCCAACCAGAGGGGACGGGGAGCAGCUGGUUGCCCUGGACAAAAUAAAAAAGGCAGCCAUUAUUGGCAUCAAUGGAGACUGGAUAAGAUGCUACAUUGAAGAAAUGGCCGGCAGCCAGCCGAGGGCAGAUAGGCACAGCUAUAAAUUCCAAGCUCGCAGAGAUGCGAAGAUCCAUUAAAUGAUUUUUUUUUUUUGUUGUUGUCAUUUUUGUACAUUUUGAUAGUCCUUAAAUAAAUAAUGUAAAUUUCCACAUUUUGGGCUUUUAUUUUUGUUUCCUAGUUUGGAUUUUAAUAAUUUUACUAAUGUAUAGGUGGACAUAUGUGCAUAUAUGUA